UACGAAGGGGGCUAGCGUUGUUCGGAAUUACUGGGCGUAAAGCGCACGUAGGCGGACAUUUUAAGUCAGGGGUGAAAUCCCGGGGCUCAACCUCGGAACUGCCUUUGAUACUGGGUGUCUUGAGUGUGGAAGAGGUCAGUGGAAUUGCGAGUGUAGAGGUGAAAAUUCGUAGAUAUUCGCAGGAACACCAGUGGCGAAGGCGGCUGACUGGUCCACAACUGACGCUGAGGGUGCGAAAAAGCGUGGGGG
rnacentral:rRNA from 1 species